rnacentral:rRNA from 1 species
CAAGUCGAACGAGAUCUUCGGAUCUAGUGGCGCACGGGUGCGUAACGCGUGGGAAUCUGCCCUUGGGUUCGGAAUAACUUCUGGAAACGGAAGCUAAUACCGGAUGAUGACGUAAGUCCAAAGAUUUAUCGCCCAAGGAUGAGCCCGCGUAGGAUUAGCUAGUUGGUGGGGUAAAGGCUCACCAAGGCGACGAUCCUUAGCUGGUCUGAGAGGAUGAUCAGCCACACUGGGACUGAGACACGGCCCAGACUCCUACGGGAGGCAGCAGUAGGGAAUAUUGGACAAUGGGCGAAAGCCUGAUCCAGCAAUGCCGCGUGAGUGAUGAAGGCCUUAGGGUUGUAAAGCUCUUUUACCCGGGAUGAUAAUGACAGUACCGGGAGAAUAAGCUCCGGCUAACUCCGUGCCAGCAGCCGCGGUAAUACGGAGGGAGCUAGCGUUGUUCGGAAUUACUGGGCGUAAAGCGCACGUAGGCGGCUAUUCAAGUCAGAGGUGAAAGCCCGGGGCUCAACCCCGGAACUGCCUUUGAAACUAGAUAGCUUGAAUCCAGGAGAGGUGAGUGGAAUUCCGAGUGUAGAGGUGAAAUUCGUAGAUAUUCGGAAGAACACCAGUGGCGAAGGCGGCUCACUGGACUGGUA